UCCCUCACUUUCCCUGAGAGGGAGAAAUAAGGAUGUUAGUGUGUCACUUCCUGCUUCCAAUGAUGUAAAAAUCGUUAUUUUGCGUCAUUGGAAGCAGGAAGUCUGAUAUCUCUGUAGAGGGGGUGAGACUACAAACACUACUUCCUCAUUUUUGUUUCACAGAAUCAGAUGUUCGUGGCUACCUUUAUGAGCCGCUAUAUAGCGAGCAGCGUCUGAGGCUGCUGCAGCCGAGGCAGAGGACCUGCCUGUCGCGGACGAGGAGCCCGGACUGGCUCGAGCUGGGGCGGACUGCUGGUGCCUGUGCUCUCGCUGUGCGCCUACGGACACACGGACGUCUGACUGUAAAACAAUAUCGCCUAACAGCCUUUCUGCAAUGGGUCCUGCAAGGCGAGAGAUUGGGUCGAGGCGUUGUUUUACCCGCUGAUGUGGUGCAGGCUCUCCGACAGUAUCCAGCUCCAGAUGGCCAGUACUGCGGCACCGAGACGUUGAGGACGCUCAGGAGGAACUACAACUGUCAUUGUUAACAUAUUUAUUGUUGUUGUUGUUGAUAUAUUUCUGUAAAUAAAUGGUUUACAUUCA